UCUUCAUUCCCCUCACUAUCUCUCCGAGCAGAGCUGCGAGAGAGUGUGUGAAAUGAAGAGA
rnacentral:pre_miRNA from 1 species